GACGAACGCUGGCGGCGUGCCUAAUACAUGCAAGUAGAACGCUGAAGAGAGGAGCUUGCUCUUCUUGGAUGAGUUGCGAACGGGUGAGUAACGCGUAGGUAACCUGCCUUGUAGCGGGGGAUAACUAUUGGAAACGAUAGCUAAUACCGCAUAACAAUGGAUGACACAUGUCAUUUAUUUGAAAGGGGCAAUUGCUCCACUACAAGAUGGACCUGCGUUGUAUUAGCUAGUAGGUGAGGUAAUGGCUCACCUAGGCGACGAUACAUAGCCGACCUGAGAGGGUGAUCGGCCACACUGGGACUGAGACACGGCCCGGACUCCUACGGGAGGCAGCAGUGGGGAAUAUUGGCAAUGGGGGCAACCCUGAUCCAGCCAUGCCGCGUGUGUGAAGAAGGCCUUU
rnacentral:rRNA from 1 species